rnacentral:rRNA from 1 species
CCUACGGGAGGCAGCAGUAGGGAAUCUUCCACAAUGGGCGAAAGCCUGAUGGAGCAACGCCGCGUGGGUGAAGAAGGUCUUCGGAUCGUAAAACCCUGUUGUUAGAGAAGAAAGUGCGUGAGAGUAACUGUUCACGUUUCGACGGUAUCUAACCAGAAAGCCACGGCUAACUACGUGACAGCAGCCGCGGUAAUACGUAGGUGGCAAGCGUUAUCCGGAUUUAUUGGGCGUAAAGGGAACGCAGGCGGUCUUUUAAGUCUGAUGUGAAAGCCUUCGGCUUAACCGGAGUAGUGCAUUGGAAACUGGGAGACUUGAGUGCAGAAGAGGAGAGUGGAACUCCAUGUGUAGCGGUGAAAUGCGUAGAUAUAUGGAAGAACACCAGUGGCGAAAGCGGCUCUCUGGUCUGUAACUGACGCUGAGGUUCGAAAGCGUGGGUAGCAAACAGGAUUAGAUACCCCGGUAGUC